GACGCGCAACGCCUCCACCCACUGUGGUUCGGGGAGCCGGGCGCCUUCGGCAGGACGUACCGGGGACAGUGGGCCCCCACAGCCCUCUUGAACUCUACGUGCAGUUAGGCGGUGGAGGGAACAAAAGAUACUCCUUGUCUGAAAAUUGCUGUGAGAGCAUUAAGGUUGGACAUAAGGAUCAGCCUUCCGGCUUGGAGGACUGGGUGCAAGGUGGGUGUGACAAAGAAAAGGAGCUCAAAACUGCCUCCUGUUCCAGCCUAACCAGACCACUGCAUUUGAUGAAAUGAGUUUGCAACUUAAAAUACCACAUAUGGAAACAAGCCACUAUUCAUAAGUCAGCAGAAAAAAAUGAAAUAAGGGCUCAGACCCAUCACACUGGCAAAGUAGAAUUUGAAGAUUCAAAAUACCAAA